UACAGAGGGUGCAAGCGUUGUUCGGAAUUAUUGGGCGUAAAGGGUGUGUAGGUGGCGCCGUAAGUCGGGUGUGAAAUUUCGGAGCUUAACUCCGAAACUGCAUUCGAUACUGCGGUGCUUGAGGACUGGAGAGGAGACUGGAAUUCAUGGUGUAGCAGUGAAAUGCGUAGAGAUCAUGAGGAAGACCAGUGGCGAAGGCGGGUCUCUGGACAGUUCCUGACACUGAGACACGAAGGCCAGGGGAGCAAACGGG
rnacentral:rRNA from 1 species